UUUUGGUUGUCAAACUGAGGCUGUGUUUUAUGAAGAUUUUUGUUGAAACAACAUUAACAGGCAUCUUUUAAAAAGUGUUUAAAAUGCCUGACAUUAUCUGCAUGCUGUUGAGUAAAUAGAGAAAACUGUAUUGGUAAUUUCCUUUCUUUUUGUGUGUGUGUUUGGUUUUUAUGUAACUGGGGAUUUGGUUUCCUGGUGACCCUCUGCUCUUUCCCGUGUCCACUCCAACCCCGACACCUGGGCCAGACCGAAGAUGGACAGCGAUGCUGAGACCAGAAGAUUCUACAAAGGCCAGCGCUCAGAGGAUCAUCCACAGCCCAGUACCAUGAAGGCGAGAUAACGUUAUCAUUUCUGCCUGUUUGCCUACCCCCCCCCCCCCCCCACAACAACAAUUUUCAGCCAGCACUAUGAAGCAAAGACCUUGGAACCGUGUGACUUCCAGCACUGUAGAGAAGACUGAGAAAGUUGCCAUUAUGAAACAAAGCUUCAAAGUCUGACAGUCACACAGCCCAGCACCUGCUGCCACUCUAUGGGGCUACCAUCACCUCAUCGUCAGAUCAAUCAGCCUGACGCUACAACAUGAGGCUUCUUUGACAAGCUGUGAGACAAAUGAUGGCAAAAGAUGCAUACCUGCAAAGCGACGACGUAAAUGACCAUCACAAAACUGCUGUGGAAUGGACAAGAGAGGAAGGGGGGAGUGACGCUCUCUGAGAAGCUUCACAGCAUCAUCGCCUCAAUCUAUGCAAACAAGAACACAUCUGUGGAUGGCCAGGGCAUUUUUGGGUCCAAAGUCGACCAGGAAGAACAAAGUGAUGACCACAACCAGGCCGGUUUCUGGGGGUAGAGUGGGCACGGAUGGAGUCAGACGGCCAGCUAGCCUGCCCAUAGAAAAAGAUGAGUAAACACACAAACACACUCUCAUAUGUUCUGUAAAAGAAACUUUUUCUUUCUUUCAUUUUUUAUUGUAUGAAUAGUAACAGAUAUGAAAAAAGAGAAACAAGACAAUAGCUGAUCUGAAAUAUGAAUUUUGACAAGUAAAUGCUGAACAAAAUAUCUGGCAUUAUUUUUAAAGAAUGUUUGAUAACAAGUGUAGAAGCUUUUUCUAUAAUCCUUUUUGUUUCUGUUUUUUUAUUUCUGUGGGUUUGGACUCUGCUUUUCAGCCUGCGUCUGCCCCUCCCCCAACCUGGCCCGUCCACCAAGUUUGAUGAGGAGUGGGGGCCGGGGAACCUGGAUCGGUGUGAGGUGUGCGGUGCCGGGUUUCAAAGGGGGGAGGGGAACGGGCCGAGGGACAGACAGUCCAAAAUGGCACCACCCUCCCAUAAAAGAUGGGGCGAAUGCUGUUCUCACGGGGGGUUCUCCAUUUCCACCUGGAACCAGCUGUCUGCCACCUCGUGUUAGCCUUUCCAACGGGCGUUUCCUGGGGGUCCUUUUUUGGGGGGGCCCAUCCCUCCCACAUCAUCGCAUUCCACCUUUGAGCAGGCCGUGUUGCGGCUUCUCUCUGUCUGGGCGAGGUUUCUAAAAUGCUACACCUCUGGCCCUGUGUUUGGUGUGGUUUCUGAUCACACACCCUCUGCCUUAAUGAAAUAAAGAGAACAGGACUUUGUUUUUUUAUA